rnacentral:rRNA from 1 species
AUUGAACGCUGGCGGCAGGCUUAACACAUGCAAGUCGAGCGGGGUGAUGGUGCUUGCACUAUCACUUAGCGGCGGACGGGUGAGUAAUGCUUAGGAAUCUGCCUAUUAGUGGGGGACAACAUCUCGAAAGGGAUGCUAAUACCGCAUACGUCCUACGGGAGAAAGCAGGGGAUCUUUAUGACCUUGCGCUAAUAGAUGAGCCUAAGUCGGAUUAGCUAGUUGGUGGGGUAAAGGCCGACCAAGGCGACGAUCUGUAGCGGGUCUGAGAGUAUGAACCACAACACUGGGACUGAGACACGGCCCAGACUCCUACGGGAGGCAGCAGUGGGGAAUAUGGGACAAUGGUGGGAACCCUGAUCCAGCCAUGCCGCGUGUGUGAAGAAGGCCUUAUGGUUGUAAAGCACUUUAAGCGAGGAGGAGGCUCUUUUGGUUAAUACCCAGAAUGAGUGGACGUUACUCGCAGAAUAAGCACCGGCUAACUCUGUGCCAGCCGCCGCCGUAA